UUUCAAAGUAAACUUUGACUUUGCAGUCAUUGACACAGCAAUACAUUCGGUUGAAGAAAGAUUCACAUUGAUGCAGCAAAUUAGUUCAGUAUUUGGCUUCAUAUAUGAUGUUUACAGUUUGCAAAAUAAAACACCAAAGCAAAUUAUGGAACAUUGCUUGAAUCUGGAGAAAGCUUUGCAACAUAGUGAAUCCAAAGAUACUGAUGCCUUUGACUUGUGCAGUGAAUUGCAAGCUAUUGCAAGACGAGUCCAAAGGAGUUCAUCACCGCAAGAUGUAUUG